CUUGAAUUUCUUUUCUGUUAAGUAGAGAGAAUAGUGCCUGCUUCGAAGAAGGCUAAAGCGGGUCAAAUGAGAUGAUAGAUUAUUGUAAACAGUGAAGUCAUUUAUGGUGGCUGCGGGGAGUUUGGAGGCUGGGGGAAGACAUGAGGAACCCUCACCUAAAUGGAGCCAGGCGACCACGGCACCAGGAAGAGAGAGCCGCUGCAGUUAUUCCUUAGGUCCUGGCAUUGCACACACAGCCUGACUAGCCUGCAGUCCCAUAAGGACUCACAGACACCUAUGGAGCACCUACUCUCAGCCAUUGUCUCCGCAAACACAGAGCCUUCAGGAGGAAGCAAUACAAAGGGCCUGUCUUCAGGAAGCUUGCAUUCUGGUGUGGCAGACCAACAACAAAUAAAUACUUCAAAAUGUGUCAGUACAUGUCAUAUACUAUUUAGGUGGAUAAGGUAG